rnacentral:rRNA from 1 species
UACGUAGGGUGCAAGCGUUAAUCGGAAUUACUGGGCGUAAAGCGUGCGUAGGUGGUUCGUUAAGUCUGAUGUGAAAGCCCUGGGCUCAACCUGGGAAUGGCAUUGGAAACUGGCGACCUAGAGUGCGGUAGAGGGUAGUGGAAUUCCCGGUGUAGCGGUGAAAUGCGUAGAUAUCGAGAGGAACACCUGGCGGCGAAGGCGGGUUGCUGGGCUGACACUGACGCUGACAGCGGCGAAAGCUAGGGGAGCGAACGGG